AGACAGCAGUAGCCGCGGUAAUACAGAGGGUGCGAGCGUUAAUCGGAUUUACUUGGCGUAAAGCGUGCGUAGGCGGCUAAUUGAGUCGGAUGUGAAAUCCCCGAGCUUAACUUGGGAAUUGCAUUCGAUACUGGUUAGCUAGAGUGUGGGAGAGGAUGGUAGAAUUCCAGGUGUAGCGGUGAAAUGCGUAGAGAUCUGGAGGAAUACCGAUGGCGAAGGCAGCCAUCUGGCCUAACACUGACGCUGAGGUACGAAAGCAUGGGGAGCAAACAGGAUUAGAUACCCCAGUAGUCCCUGUCUCUUAUAC
rnacentral:rRNA from 1 species